GAUGAACGCUGACAGAAUGCUUAACACAUGCAAGUCUUUGGCGAAGCUGUGCUUGCACAGCCUAGCCAAGGCGGACGGGUGAGUAACGCGUAAGGAACUUGCCCUGCAGUCAGGGAUAACAGACGGAAACGACUGAUAAGACCUGGUAAAGUCAGGCGGACUCAUGUCCAGCCUGAUGAAGAGAGAUGCUGCAGGAGAGCCUUGCGUCCUAUUAGCUUGUUGGUGGGGUAACGGCCCACCAAGGCGAUGAUAGGUAGCCGGCCUGAGAGGGUGGACGGCCACAAGGGGACUGAGAUACGGCCCUUACUCCUACGGGAGGCAGCAGUGGGGAAUAUUGGACAAUGGGGGCAACCCUGAUCCAGCAAUUCUGUGUGCACGAUGAAGGUUUUCGGAUUGUAAAGUGCUUUCAGCAGGGAAGAAAAAAAUGACGGUACCUGCAGAAGAAGCGACGGCUAAAUACGUG
rnacentral:rRNA from 1 species